rnacentral:rRNA from 1 species
ACUCCUACGGGAGGCAGCAGUGGGGAAUAUUGCACAAUGGGCGCAAGCCUGAUGCAGCCAUGCCGCGUGUAUGAAGAAGGCCUUCGGGUUGUAAAGUACUUUCAGCAGUGAGGAAGGUGGGUAUGUUAAUAGCAUAUUCAUUUGACGUUAGCUGCAGAAGAAGCACCGGCUAACUCCGUGCCAGCAGCCGCGGUAAUACGGAGGGUGCGAGCGUUAAUCGGAAUUACUGGGCGUAAAGCGCAUGCAGGUGGUUUGUUAAGUCAGAUGUGAAAGCCCGGGGCUCAACCUCGGAAUUGCAUUUGAAACUGGCAAACUAGAGUACUGUAGAGGGGGGUAGAAUUUCAGGUGUAGCGGUGAAAUGCGUAGAGAUCUGAAGGAAUACCGGUGGCGAAGGCGGCCCCCUGGACAGAUACUGACACUCAGAUGCGAAAGCGUGGGGAGCAAACAGGAUUAGAUACCCUGGUAGG